UCAAGUCUGCUUAUUGGAAUAAUUACUCUGAUUACUAAAAAGGGAACUUUGAGUCUUAAUUUUCUUCCAUCAUUUGUUCUAAAAUGCAUUUUUAAGGGCAGCCUAAGGAAACUUCAGCUGGGUCUCAAAGUAGAGGCCCAGAUGUGCUGUCUAACAGUGAACUCAGGGAACUUAGUUAAGAUCACCUGGGCAGCCCCCUCCUGUUCCACCCUGACCCAGAGCAGGGGGACAUCAGCCCCAGGUAAAGCUCACAGAACAGCUGUCCAAGGAGCUGCAGGCUCUGCUCUGAGCCAGGGUGUCCUUGCUUAAGAUGCAGAGCAAAGCCCAGGGUAACUCCUAAGUCCAGGUGAGAUGUGCAGAAACCAAGGGGGAAUCAGCCCUCCCAGGAACAAUAUGCCCCCAGAGCCUCUCCUGCUCCCCGCUGCCUGGGAGCUCAUGUCUUGGUGCGAGCUGCAAGGCUGAGUAGACUCAGCCUUCCAUUGCAAGGUGAAGUCUGUCAAGGAAACAGCAGAGGGAUUCAUAACAGUUACGAAUACUUAUAAAGAGUUGUGUGUUUAGAAUACAAGCAGAUAACCAAAGAUCACCACUACAUGAUAACAGCUAAUGAUAUCAAAAAGAACAGCCAGUCCUGAAAGGGAUGGAUGUCAUACAGGAUGUAAAAGAAAUGAGCAAAGUUCUUAGAUAUCACAAGCACCAUGGUUAACUUCAGAAACUGUGACACAACAGAAAGAUCUCCAGAUCAACGAGAUACUAGGGUUCAAAGCUAAAAACAAAAGCUGAAAGCAAAAGGAAAGGAAAAGAUACAGACAAAUCCUAACCUCAAGACAGCUAGUAUGGCUAUAUUUAAAUGUCAUAAAAUGAUUUAAGACACAAAACAUCAUCAAGAAUAGAGAUUGUGCUGGGUGAAGUGGCACCUGCCUGUAAUCCCAGCAGUUUGGGAGGCUGAGGCAGAAGGAUCGAGAGUUCAAAAAGCCAGCCUCAGCAACAGCGAGGUGCUAAGCAACUCAGCAACACCCUGUCUCUAAAUAAAAU
rnacentral:lncRNA from 1 species